AUUGAACGCUGGCGGCAUGCUUUACACAUGCAAGUCGAACGGCAACAGGGUGCUUGCACCGCUGACGAGUGGCGAACGGGUGAGUAAUGCGUCGGAACGUGCCCUGUUGUGGGGGAUAACUAGUCGAAAGAUUAGCUAAUACCGCAUACGACCUGAGGGUGAGAGUGGGGGACCGCAAGGCCUCACGCAGCAGGAGCGGCCGAUGUCUGAUUAGCUAGUUGGUGGGGUAAAGGCCCACCAAGGCGACGAUCAGUAGCUGGUCUGAGAGGACGAUCAGCCACACUGGGACUGAGACACGGCCCAGACUCCUACGGGAGGCAGCAGUGGGGAAUUUUGGACAAUGGGGGCAACCCUGAUCCAGCUAUGCCGCGUGUGUGAAGAAGGCCUUCGGGUUGUAAAGCACUUUUGUCCGGAAAGAAAUCGCGCUGGUUAAUACCUGGCGUGGAUGACGGUACCGGAAGAAUAAGCACCGGCUAACUACGUGCCAGCCGCCGCCGUAA
rnacentral:rRNA from 1 species